rnacentral:rRNA from 1 species
GAUGAACGCUGGCGGCGUGCCUAAUACAUGCAAGUCGAGCGAACGGACGAGAAGCUUGCUUCUCUGAUGUUAGCGGCGGACGGGUGAGUAACACGUGGAUAACCUACCUAUAAGACUGGGAUAACUUCGGGAAACCGGAGCUAAUACCAGAUAAUAUUUUGAACCGCAUGGUUCAAAAGUGAAAGACGGUCUUGCUGUCUCUUAUAGAUGGAUCCGCGCUGCAUUAGCUAGUUGGUAAGGUAACGGCUUACCAAGGCAACGAUGCAUAGCCGACCUGAGAGGGUGAUCGGCCACACUGGAACGGAGACACGGUCCAGACUCCUACGGGAGGCAGCAGUAUGGAAUCUUCCGCAAUGGGCGGAAGCCUGACGGAGCAACGCCGCGUGAGUGAUGAAGGUCUUCGGAGCGUAAAACUCUGUUAUUAGGGAAGAACAUAUGUGUAAGUAACUGUGCACAUCUUGACGGUACCUAAUCAGAAAGCCACGGCUAACUACGUG